rnacentral:tRNA from 1 species
GGCGCCGUCGCCAAGUGGCUAAGGCAGCGGAUUGCAAAUCCGCCACCGUGGGUUCAACUCCCACCGGCGCCU